rnacentral:rRNA from 1 species
UGGAGCCUGCGGUUAAUUGGACUCAACGCCGGGCAGCUCACCGGAUAAGACAGCUGGAUGAUAGCCGGGCUGAAGACUCUGCUUGACUAGCUGAGAGGAGGUGCAUGGCCGUCGUCAGUCGUACUGUGAAGCAUCCUGUUAAGUCAGGCAACGAGCGAGACCCACGCCAACAGUUGCCAGCAUGUCCUCCGGGAUGAUGGGGACACUGUUGGGACCGCUCUGCUAAAGAGGAGGAAGGAAUGGGCAACGGUAGGUCAGCAUGCCCCGAAUUAUCCGGGCUACACGCGGGCUACAAUGGUCAGGACAAUGGGUAUCGACACCGAGAGGUGGAGGCAAUCUCCUAAACCUGUCCUUAGUUCGGAUUGUGGGCUGCAACUCGCCCACAUGAAGCUGGAAUCCGUAGUAAUCGCGUUUCAAAAUAGCGCGGUGAAUAUGUCCCUGCUCCUU